rnacentral:tRNA from 1 species
AGGGAUUUAGCUCAGUGGCACAGUGCAUGUCUGGCAACCAUGAGGUCCUGAGUUCAAUCCCUG